rnacentral:rRNA from 1 species
CCCUUACGGCUCAGUAACACGUGGAUAACCUGCCCUUGGGUCCGGCAUAACCCCGGGAAACUGGGGAUAAUUCCGGAUAACGCACAUAUGCUGGAAUGCUUUAUGCGUAAAAUGGAUUCGUCUGCCCAAGGAUGGGUCUGCGGCCUAUCAGGUAGUAGUGGGUGUAAUGUACCUACUAGCCAACAACGGGUACGGGUUGUGAGAGCAAGAGCCCGGAGAUGGAUUCUGAGACAUGAAUCCAGGCCCUACGGGGCGCAGCAGGCGCGAAAACUUUACAAUGCGGGAAACCGUGAUAAGGGGACACCGAGUGCCAGCGUCAUACGCUGGCUGUCCAGGUGUGUAAAAUACACCUGUUAGCAAGGGCCGGGCAAGACCGGUGCCAGCCGCCGCGGUAACACCGGCGGCCCGAGUGGUGAUCGUGAUUAUUGGGUCUAAAGGGUCCGUAGCCGGUUUGGUCAGUCCUCCGGGAAAUCUGAUAGCUCAACUAUUAGGCUUUCGGGGGAUACUGCCAGACUUGGAACCGGGAGAGGUAAGAGGUACUACAGGGGUAGGAGUGAAAUCUUGUAAUCCCUGUGGGACCACCUGUGGCGAAGGCGUCUUACCAGAACGGGCUCGACGGUGAGGGACGAAAGCUGGGGGCACGAACCGGAUUAGAUACUUGGAGAGUCCCAGCCGUAAACGAUGCUCGCUAGGUGUCAGGCAUGGCGCGACCGUGUCUGGUGCCGCAGGGAAGCCCGCGUACUAGCCACCUGGGAAGUACGGCCGCAAGGCUGAAACUUAAGGAUAUUGCGGGGGAGCAC